UACAGAGGGUGCAAGCGUUAAUCGGAAUUACUGGGCGUAAAGCGUGCGUAGACGGUUACAUAAGUCGGGUGUGAAAGCCCCGGGCUCAACCCGGGAAGUGCACUCGAAACUGUGAGGCUAGAGUAUCGGAGAGGUUGGUGGAAUUCUCGGUGUAGAGGUGAAAUUCGUAGAUAUCGAGAGGAACACCGGUGGCGAAGGCGGCCAACUGGACGAAUACUGACGCUGAGACUCGAAAGCGUGGGGAGCAAACAGG
rnacentral:rRNA from 1 species